rnacentral:rRNA from 3 species
UGACCUCUGACCUCAAAUCAGGUAGGACUACCCGCUGAACUUAAGCAUAU